rnacentral:rRNA from 1 species
UACGAGGGGGGCGAGCGUUGUUCGGAAUUAUUGGGCGUAAAGGGUGCGUAGGCGGUUUGGUAAGUCUGAUGUGAAAUCUAUGGGCUCAACUCAUAGUCUGCAUCGGAAACUGCCGGGCUUGAGUGUGGGAGAGGUGAGUGGAAUUCCUGGUGCAGCGGUGAAAUGCGUAGAUAUCAGGAGGAACACCUGUGGCGAAAGCGGCUCACUGGACCAUAACUGACGCUGAUGCACGAAAGCUAGGGGAGCAAACAGG